GGUCCUGUGGUCUAGUGGUAUGAUUCUCGCUUAGGGUUCUAAGCAAUUUGCGAGAGGCCCCGCGUUCGAGUCGCGGCAGGACCC